rnacentral:rRNA from 1 species
UACGGAGGGUGCAAGCGUUAUCCGGAUUUACUGGGUUUAAAGGGUGCGUAGGUGGGUAGGAAAGUCAGUGGUGAAAUCUUCGGGCUUAACCCGGAAACUGCCAUUGAUACUAUUUAUCUUGAAUACUUUGGAGGUAAGCGGAAUAUGUCAUGUAGCGGUGAAAUGCUUAGAUAUGACAUAGAACACCAAUUGCGAAGGCAGCUUACUACACAGUUAUUGACACUGAGGCACGAAAGCGUGGGGGAUCAAAACAGG